ensembl:lncRNA
GUGUGGCAUGGGGGGAGGAACUGGAAAGGGCCGUGCUGAGGGGGGCGUGACUCAGAGAAUCCUGGAGCAGUGGGAACCGAGACCUGCGAAGCUAGUGUCCAGAGAGAGGGCACACAUGGUCCCGGGGAAUCCUCACAGCCACCCCAGGAAGAAGAAUGACGACAGCACCCAUUAAAGCAGACAACUGAGGCUCAUGGAGAGCUAGUGAAUCAUGGAGCCUGAAUUGGAACCCAGCGCUUACUCAAGCCCUCAAUUCCAGCUACUCAGCACGUGCAAGCAUGAGAAGAUGGAGCGAGGGACCCUGAGUUCUGGCAAGAUGGAAUAGGAAGGGUUGUUGGCUUCAUUCUGGAAGUCGUAUUAUAAGAUUAGAAGAGUCAGCUGGCUGAGAUGAGUAGAGAAAUACCUAUGGCUUAUGGAACAGCGAUCCCAUGCCAGGUCCUAUGCUAACUACACUUGAUUUAUGUUGAGAAGCAGAGAACCUUGUGGUUAAGAAGCUGGACACUGGAUCCAGUCUCCCUGGAUUCAUGUUCUGGCCUUGCUACUUGCUAGUUCUGAGACCUUUAGCCGGUUACUUAACCAGUCUUGGCC